rnacentral:rRNA from 1 species
UACGUAGGGUGCAAGCGUUGUCCGGAAUUAUUGGGCGUAAAGAGCUCGUAGGCGGUUUGUCGCGUCUGCUGUGAAAACCCGAGGCUCAACCUCGGGCCUGCAGUGGGUACGGGCAGACUAGAGGUAGGUAGGGGAGAAUGGAAUUCCCGGUGUAGCGGUGAAAUGCGCAGAUAUCGGGAGGAACACCGGUGGCGAAGGCGGUUCUCUGGGCCGUACCUGACGCUGAGGAGCGAAAGCGUGGGGAGCGAACAGG